CAGUAGCCGCGGUAACACGAAGGGUGCAAGCGUUACUCGGAAUUACUGGGCGUAAAGCGUGCGUAGGUGGUGGUUUAAGUCCGUUGUGAAAGCCCUGGGCUCAACCUGGGAAUUGCAGUGGAUACUGGGUCACUAGAGUGUGGUAGAGGAUAGUGGAAUUUCCGGUGUAGCGGUGAAAUGCGUAGAGAUCUGGAGGAAUACCGGUGGCGAAGGCGGCCCCCUGGACAAAGACUGACGCUCAGGUGCGAAAGCGUGGGGAGCAAACAGGAUUAGAUACCCCUGUAGUCCCUGUCUCUUAUAC
rnacentral:rRNA from 1 species